UGGGGAAUAUUGCACAAUGGGCGAAAGCCUGAUGCAGCAACGCCGCGUGAGUGAUGAAGGCCUUCGGGUUGUAAAGCUCUGUCUUUUGGGACGAUAAUGACGGUACCAAAGGAGGAAGCCACGGCUAACUACGUGCCAGCAGCCGCGGUAAUACGUAGGUGGCAAGCGUUGUCCGGAUUUACUGGGCGUAAAGGAUGCGUAGGCGGAUUUUUAAGUGAGAUGUGAAAACCCUAAGCUUAACUUGGGGACUGCAUUUCAUACUGGAAAUCUAGAGUGCGGGAGAGGAGAAUGGAAUUCCUAGUGUAGCGGUGAAAUGCGUAGAGAUUAGGAAGAACACCAGUGGCGAAGGCGAUUCUCUGGACCGUAACUGACGCUGAGGCAUGAAAAGCGUGGGUAGCAAACAGGAUUAGAUACCCUGGUAGUCCACGCCGUAAACGAUGAGUACUAGGUGUAGGAGGUAUCGACCCCUUCUGUGCCGCAGUUAACACAAUAAGUACUCCGCCUGGGAAGUACGAUCGCAAGAUUAAAAACUCAAAGGAAUUGACGGGGUCAUAGCUG
rnacentral:rRNA from 1 species